GUGAGGAAUAUUGGACAAUGGGCGCAAGCCUGAUCCAGCCAUGCCGCGUGCAGGAAGACGCAUCUAUGGUGUGUAAACUGCUUUUGUACGGGAAGAAACACUCCCUCGUGAGGGAGCUUGACGGUACCGUAAGAAUAAGGAUCGGCUAACUCCGUGCCAGCAGCCGCGGUAAUACGGAGGAUCCAAGCGUUAUCCGGAAUCAUUGGGUUUAAAGGGUCCGUAGGCGGUUAAUAAGUCAGUGGUGAAAGCCCAUCGCUCAACGAUGGAACGGCCAUUGAUACUGUUAGACGUGAAUUACAAGGAAGUAACUAGAAUAUGUAGUGUAGCGGUGAAAUGCUUAGAUAUUACAUGGAAUACCAAUUGCGAAGGCAGGUUACUACUUGUGGAUUGACGCUGAUGGACGAAAGCGUGGGGAGCGAACAGGAUUAGAAACCCCGGUAGUCC
rnacentral:rRNA from 1 species